ACCACCGUCCAGACUCCCCGGGAAGAAACACCAAAAGAAGACUAGAAACCGGAGAGAAAAGUUGAUCCCCAUUCCCCACAAUAGAGCUGCGACUUCGUGAGAGAUGGAUGAAGAGCAUGGUAAUAGCAUCGGUAGUAGCAGUAGUAAUUUGGAGACUGCGAAGGCGGAGAGAUCGGUUUGGCUGAUGAAAUGCCCGGUUGCGGUGGCCAAGUCCUGGAAGAGUCAUCCCCAAUCUGACCCUCACCCUCUCGCCAAGGUCGUCCUCUCCCUCGAUCCUCUUCACCCCGACGGCUCCUCUUCCCUUCAGUUCACAAUGGAGAUGGCAGGCACUGAGGCGGGGAGUGUUCCGAAAAGUUAUUCUUUGAAUAUGUUUAAGGAUUUUGUUCCCAUGUCUGUCUUUUCAGAGACAAAUCAAGGUAAGGUUGCGAUGGAGGGAAAGGUUGAGCAUAAGUUUGACAUGAAGCCCCAUAGUGAAAACAUUGAAGAGUAUGGAAAAUUGUGCCGUGAAAGGACAAGCAAGUCCAAGAUAAAGAGUAGACAAAUACAGGUCAUUGACAAUGAUCGUGGAAUACAUAUGAGGCCCAUGCCGGGAAUGGUUGGCUUGAUUUCAUCCACUUCCAAGGAUAAGAAGAAAACUGUACCAGUUAAGCAAUCGGAUGUGAAAAGAACUAGAAGGGAUCGUGGGGAACUGGAGGAUAUAAUGUUCAAACUAUUUGAAAGACAACCAAAUUGGGCCUUAAAGCAGCUUGUCCAAGAGACUGAUCAACCUGCCCAAUUCUUGAAGGAGAUACUCAACGAGCUGUGUGUGUACAAUAAAAGAGGAACCAACCAAGGAACCUACGAGCUUAAGCCAGAAUACAAGAAAGUUGUUGAAGAUACAACAACUGCUGAAUAAUAUAGCACCUCUCGGGCCAUUAGUGACCUUUUUUCUAUUUAUUUCUCUACGUGAAUUAAGCAGGAAAGGAGCAGACUCAGUCACAAAGUUCAAAUAAAUUCACAAGUUACGCAGGGGUGCUGCACGUGACGCCACCGAGAAGGUAUCAAGCAAACACAACAUGGAGCGACCUAUUCUUUCCUUUUUGAUAUUUCGUUCUCUGAAAUUCGCAGAUGCAAAUUUGUACAGAGUCUUAGUUUUUACUCUGGGGCCAAGAGUUAUACAAAAAUAUUUUGUUCCGCAAACUUAAUUCCUCAAUGACCCAUUAUCUUGAUUUAGCAUCAACGCUUACUGGAUGGACUUUUAGAGUUCCAUCAGUUCUACCAAUUCCAAGGCAAGUCCAUUCUUAUGCACUAAUGUUUUGCCAA